rnacentral:rRNA from 1 species
AUGUUUUCGGAUCGUAAAACUCUGUUGGUAGAGAAAAACGUUGGUGAGAGUGGAAAGCUCAUCCAGUNNNNNNNACUACCCAGAAAGGGACGGCUAACUACGUGCCAGCAGCCGCGGNNNUACGUAGGUCCCGAGCGUUGUCCGGAUUUAUUGGGCGUAAAGCGAGCGCAGGUGGUUUAUAAAGUCUGGUGUAAAAGGCAGUGGCUCAACCAUUGUAUGCAUUGGAAACUGGUAGACUUGAGUGCAGGAGAGGAGAGUGGAAUUCCAUGUGUAGCGGUGAAAUGCGUAGAUAUAUGGAGGAACACCGGUGGCGAAAGCGGCUCUCUGGCCUGUAACUNNCANNNAGGCUCGAAAGCGUGGGGAGCAAACAGGAUUAGAUACCCUGGUAGUCCACGCCGUAAACGANNAGUGCUAGAUGUAGGGAGCUAUAAGUUCUCUGUAUCGCAGCUAACGCAAUANAGCACUCCGCCUGGGGAGUACGACCGCUAA